ACGGGAGGCAGCAGUGGGGAAUAUUGGGCAAUGGGCGAAAGCCUGACCCAGCAACGCUGCGUGAAGGAAGAAGGUCUUCGGAUUGUAAACUUCUUUUAUAAGGGACGAAGAAAGUGACGGUACCUUAUGAAUAAUCCACGGCUAACUACGUGCCAGCAGCCGCGGUAAUACGUAGGUGGCAAGCGUUAUCCGGAUUUACUGGGUGUAAAGGGCGCGUAGGCGGUGAUGCAAGUCAGAUGUGAAAUCUAUGGGCUCAAAUCAUAAACUGCAUUUGAAACUGUAGCUCUUGAGUGCUGGAGAGGUAGAUGGAAUUCCUGGUGGAGCGGUGAAAUGCGUAGAUAUAAGGAAGAACACCAGUGGCGAAGGCGAUCUACUGGACAGUAACUGACGCUGAGGCGCGAGAGCGUGGGGAGCAAACAGGAUUAGAUACCCUGGUA
rnacentral:rRNA from 1 species